UCUUAAUUUAUUCAUGUUAAGUAUCCUCUGCCCAGUGAGUCUUAAUUAACGGCUGCAGUACUCUAACUGUGCUAAGGUAGCAUAAUCAUUUGGCUUUUAAUUGAAGUCUUGGAUAAAAGAGGGAACGAUCUAUAACUAUUAUAACUGAAACUAGUGAACUUACUAUUUUAAUAAGAAGGUUCAUUUAACUUAGCAGGAAGAAAAGACCCUAAAGAGCUUAGUACUACUUAAACUACAACUGGGAUGGUUUAAAUUAUAUCUUGUGAUCGUUAGAAUUUUAAUGUGAGAAUUAUUGAGUGUCAGAAAGCUACCUUAGGGAUAACAGCACAAUCUUUCUAAAAAGACCUUAUUAACAGAAAUAGUUGUGACCUCGAUGUUGAAUUAAAACUCUUUUAGCUGUAGCAGGUUAAAAUGUGAGUCUGUUCGACUUAUUAGUUUUACA
rnacentral:rRNA from 1 species